rnacentral:rRNA from 1 species
GUCUACUGCCAUGCUACCCUGAACAAACCCAAUGUCUGAUCUCAGAAACUAAGCAGGGUCGGGCCUGGUUAGUACUUGGAUGGGAGACCACCUAGGAAGACUAGGAGCCGUAGGCA